UACGUAGGGCGCAAGCGUUGUCCGGAAUUAUUGGGCGUAAAGAGCUCGUAGGCGGCUUGUCACGUCGGAUGUGAAAGCCCGGGGCUUCACCCCGGGUCUGCAUUCGAUACGGGCAGGCUAGAGUGUGGUAGGGGAGAUCGGAAUUCCUGGUGUAGCGGUGAAAUGCGCAGAUAUCAGGAGGAACACCGGUGGCGAAGGCGGAUCUCUGGGCCAUUACUGACGCUGAGGAGCGAAAGCGUGGGGAGCGAACAGG
rnacentral:rRNA from 1 species